AAGCUUUGAGAUUUCUCUUAAAUGUGCGAUUAAGGCACACGCUGUUAGCCCAUUGUUGACUCUCAGAACAAUCAUAGUUGUAUACAAUUAAUGCGGGCAGCAUUAGGAGCAUAAACUCUAAAACUGGAGAUAAUAACUGCGGUUAAGGAGACGAACAGGGGCUCCACUUGGAGUUGCGGACAAGCAAAACCCACAAAAUGAAAGACGUAACCUGUCACCUGCCCCCCACAAGCUGCUAUCAGACCAGCUCACUUGUUGGAUUAUUUGGUCACAUCCAUUUGUGAUUCGGACAGGUCGAUAUAACAAUCUUCCUGCAGGUUUACGAAAUUUAAUAUUAUCAAAUUCAAUUUACAGCCAAAUUGUUUAACCUUAAAGUGAUCCCAGAUACUUGUCCAAAAUCGGUGCUGUUAUAACAGGCUUCUCUAAAAGUACUUAACUUUGAUUAUCUAUAAAAACCCUCUACUUCAGUGGGUAUAAAUCAAAAACUUCUGAAAUUGUCUUACUUUUAAGUACGGACAAGUUCUUCUAUAUAUCCAGGAUUGUCUGGACUAUGGUAUAAAGCGGGCGGAUUUGUGAGUUCUAAUUAAUUGGUUUAACGAGUGUAAUAUAUAAUCCAUUAAGCAAACUAUUGACUGUUCUUUUCCCUCCCCUAAAUACAAACAAAUUAAAUCCGUCUUUCAAUAAAUUAGUAGUAAAAACUUGUUUUACAAUAAUUUUGUCCCCAACACAGAGGGAAAAAGAAAAAAAAGAAAAGAGAGAGAGAGUUAUGCAUUUCAAAUACCUACCAAAUGCAUUUACGGAUCUUAUGAAAAAAAAAAAAGAAGAAUAUCAAAUGGAAAAUAGCCAUCAAACUUAUCAAAGACAAUUACUAUCUCUGCUUACAAAUUAGUUGAGAAUAUGUGUCGCCAUUAACUUUCCGCUUUUCUCAUGAGCCAUGUGCGGUGGUUGGAAAAAAAGAAAAAAAGGGCCCAAAAGUGAAGCAUUAUUGAUGAGAAAUAAAAGUGAAGAAAGUUCUACUGCCCAUUCCCAUUGGCCACAGCUAGCUAGCCAAAUGCCCAUCGCCAUUUGCUUAAUUGUUCAAGUUCCAUCGCCACGCAACGCGUCUCCCCUGCAUUAUAUAUUCACUACUCGCCCAUCUCAUUUUCGCACACCAGCAUGUCCUUUUAAUAGCACCGCCGCCCUGGAGGGAUGGUUAAUUUUACAUGCAAUAAUAUAUAUAGUUAUUCUUUAAUGCAGUCCUCAUGUGAGAAAAUUAUUUUAUUACUUAGGUUCAUUAAGAGAUUUUGUGUUCGAAUCCCAAGUAUAUAUUAUUCUUAUUUGUCAUUUUGUGUUUAUUUUUAUCAUUUUUAUUGUUAGAUCCAGCAUGUACAGAUGAGUAUGUGACAAAUCCAAUCGUUUAUUAAUUAGUAUUUGGUUUAAGAGGUAAGAAGGUCUUGAUAUUUAUUGUUAUUAGAGUUUUUCUGAUUAAAGAGGAAAACUAGAAAGCAUCUAAAAGACGCAAAAGAAAAUCUUCUACCC
rnacentral:lncRNA from 1 species